GACGAAGGGGGCUAGCGUUACUCGGAAUUACUGGGCGUAAAGCGUGCGUAGGUGGUUUGUUAAGUCUGUUGUGAAAGCCCCGGGCUCAACCUGGGAAUGGCAAUGGAUACUGGCAAGCUAGAGUGCGGUAGAGGGUAGUGGAAUUCCCGGUGUAGCGGUGAAAUGCGUAGAGAUCGGGAGGAACACCAGUGGCGAAGGCGGCUACCUGGACCAGCACUGACACUGAGGCACGAAAGCGUGGGGAGCAAACAGG
rnacentral:rRNA from 1 species